rnacentral:rRNA from 1 species
CCCUUAGAUGUUCUGGGCCGCACGCGCGCUACACUGAUGCAUUCAACGAGUCCAACCUUGACCGAGAGGUCCGGGUAAUCUUUGAAACUGCAUCGUGAUGGGGCUAGAUUAUUGCAAUUAUUAAUCUUCAACGAGGAAUGCCUAGUAAGCGUGAUUCAUCAAAUCGCGUUGAUUACGUCCCUGCCCUUUGUACACACCGCCCGUCGCUCCUACCGAUUGAGUGUGUUGGUGAGGAGUUUGGAUUGGCCUCGGAAGGUGGUUCGCCACCGUCCGUAGCUGAGAAGUUCUCCAAACCGCCCCACUUAGAGGAAGGAGANGUCGUAACA